ensembl:lncRNA
CAAUGUAUGGAGCAUUAUAAGGAUUUACAGUAGAAGCCAAAUUUCCCAGCCCUUAAAAAUCUAAUAGGAAAGACUGGAUAAAUCAUACACAAAUAUCUCUAAAUGUGGGCAUUGGAAACAUACAUAUGAUAAUCAUCUUACAGGCUAAUAUAGGUGAAUGCGUUUAUGUAAUAGAACCGGCAGGAAGGAUAAAACACAGUGAAGAAGAAAGUCAUCAGAGUGUAGUACUGUAGUGAAUAAGAGAACAACAUUGAAAAUAUUGUUUUUAAAGGCUAAAAUGUCCUGCAAAAGCAUAGCUAUCCCCUAUGCAAAACUGUGAGGUAGAAUUCUUCCCACCCUGUUUUCUGCUUUCCUGACAGCCAUCUGGGGGACAUACCUGUCCAGAUGGCUCUCACACUGCUGUACCUGGGAGUGACUAGUGGUACAUGUUUUUAAACUCCCCUCUCCAACCCCAUCAACAAAUAGUAUUUUUUUAUUCAAUGAUGAGAGUCUCAUUUCACUUACUGAAAACAGGUGGCAAAGGUAAUAUGAACAAACCAGUGCUGUUUCUUCUAGCUAAUAUAUCAUCAUCCUCGGGGCUUAACCUUUCAUGGAGAAAAACUAAAGCUAAAAUUUCAAGCAUAGGAACCUUCUGAGAAGCUGUUUCAGGCAGCAAGUCUUUGCUUCCCUCAAAUAAUACCUACUGUUAACCAUAAAUGAUGACAUUUCUACCCCAAACCUACUUUUCCUAAUAUUUCAAUGUGGAUCAUAAAAAUAGUUUACACCUUUCUAACACACUCAAAAUAUAAAAUUUAGGGCACAGUACAACUGCAUUGAAAAAAGAAACAUUUUCUUUCAAAACUACCCUAUAAUCAAUCCAGCAAUUCUAAUCCUAUUUAUCCAAGAGAAAAUAAACACCUAUGUUCACAAAGAUCUUUGUAAGAACGAUCACAGCAACUUUAUGUAUAAUUGCCAAUCCCGGAAACAGUCCAGGUAGCCAAUAGGAAACUGAGGAAACAAACUACAAUAUACCAUGAAUGGAACACUAGUCAGUCCUAAGUAGGAAUGAACUAAUAAUAUACAUCUGGCUAUGUGGCUAUAUCUCCCAAUCAAGAUGGCAAAGAAGCCUUGCAGAAGAGCAUAUGAUGUGACUUUAUUUACAGUGAGCUGAAGAACAGAAACUCUACCUUAUGGUAGAAAAAAGAGCAGUGGUUACCCUUGGAGAUUAAGCAGGCGGAGAUAAGGACUAAUGGAAAGGACCAUCCGGGAACUCUCUAGGGUGCUGUUUUCUAUCUUGGCAGCAUUGUAUGCAUCUGCCAAAAGAGUCACUAUAGCAUCAAGUCUUACGUAUUUCACUGUAUGGUAAUUUUACAUAAAAAGAAACAUGGAAGCAAAUAUUAAACUCUAGUUAAUGAUAUAGGUGCUGAUAUAGGUGAUUUAGACAUCUGCAAUUUAAAUGAAUUUAAGAAUCUGGAUUGAUGAACUGAUGGAUACGUGAUAAAGCAAGGAUAGAUAGUUAAUGAUAACUAGCAUCUAGGUAUUAUACAAAAUUAUUUUAACUUUUUACACGUUUGAAAAAAUUUGUAAUAAAACAUUGGGAAAUAGGUAUUCCCAAUUCCCUUAAUAACACAUUACCAAAAGAUGCUGAGAACUUCAUUGUUGGUCUCAUGCUAGUGUAAUCAACAAAUUCUUCCAAGUAUCAAUUUAGAAACUUAAGUUCCUCUAAAGAGCUUGUGAAAGGAUAGUCUAGAGCAGUCAUGGUGAAUCUUUUAGAGCUUUUAAUGGUACCAACAGCCCGCUCUGGCACACAUGCCACAGGUCUACACCACUGGUCUAGACUAUAUAAGGGAAGCAAUCAGUUCUCAUAUCUACCCUGAUUCAAAACUGCCGAAGUGCUAUUUUGAUCCUCUCACAUCUGUGAAAAAAAUCCAUCUAUUCUGAUUGCAUAAUCUGAGCAAAUUUGUUGGUCAUGUGGGACUAACACCAGAUUUAAAACAAUGAAACAUUCAAGAAAAAAUUAAGUACAGGAAGUGAUCUCACCCUUCUAGACUCAAAAAGAAUAGUAACUAUAAAAGAUAUGAGGCUUGAUCACAUGUGGUGAAGGGGCCACCAGGUUCUCAGUGGGGAGGCAUCUCAAUCAGCCUCUCUAAGAAGAGCUGCAUUUGGACACCCUGCAGAUGUGGCAUUCGACUUGUAAAUAUUCUGAGGAGCCCCCUACAGGUUUACUAGGAACUUGCUUCAAAGUGCAGAAGCCCUUGUGUCAGAAAGUUUUCCACAUGCCAGACUUUGAAGCCUCUCACACCGCCACUCAACCACGGGCAGUUAGUGGUCAUUUUUAGUUGUAUUCUUAAGAAUGCCUAUACCAUGACAUAUAGGGAUUAUAUGCUGCAUACUGCCUCAUAAAGAGUUCUCACAAAAAUAAUCUUGAUUCUUGAAAAACUCACUGGGUUUCGAUAUAUUCAGCUACAGGUCUGGCUUCCUUUUCAUCUCUUUAUGUACCUAGUACAGGUUCUGCUUUUUCUUUUUCUUCUUUUAUUCAUAUAUUUAUUGGUACAUUUUAGGUAUACAAUAUGUUUAUAUUUAUCAUUGGGUGCUUUACCUGAACAUGAUGUAUCUUAGUUCUUAUUUUCCCAUUACCUGUGAGCCUCUCACCCGCUCCACCCUUCCCUAUUUACAUAGACUGUUUCCAUUUUCUUUUCUUUCUCAUAAUUUUUCCUUUCCCUUCUUCCCUUUCCCCUUCCCCUCCUGCCACCCCUACACCUUUGGACCUUAGCUUUUUCUUGAAGUACAAGGACUAGUAUUCUCUUUCAAGCUUUCAAGUUGCUUUAAACUACUGCUGUAUUGCUGACUCAUACUCAGCAUUUUAUCCAUGGACCUUUUUCAGUCUUAAGGCCUCCCCUGUAUUUAUUAUAACGUGUGGAAUAUCCUCAGUUCUGAGUCUAUCACAGGACUAGUUUUUUUCUGUUCAUCAUCCCUGCCUGAGUUUGUCAAGAUGUCUCUUCUCUAACCAUAACCAGCACAAAUGGUGGUCUUAACGUAUCAUUUUUCACCUCAUUACUGGACUACUUUCUAAAUAUCCUAAACAGACUUACACUUUUCUUGUUUCUACAUGUUAGUGGUGACUUACUAAUACAUACUCCAACUAUGAUUUUCUUUUACUUGUGUUUUAUAUUGAGAAUUGUGUCAUACCCUGGCACUCUCAGAAGAGACAAUAUUCAUCAGUCUUCAUACUACUAUCAUCUCCCAAUAAAUCAGCAAAUUUGUCAUUUUCAAAGCCUUAUUAUGUACUGAUAAACUCACAAACUCUGCUUAUAGUAGUUCAGAUAUGUAAUUUUGAAUGUAUGUUUUCCUUUACACUACCGAAAUGGGGGUGUGAAGGGGAGAUCAAGCUAAAGGGGUGGUCAACAUAAACAAUUUGCCAUUUCCCCACAUCCCAUGCCUGUCUUCAGACCCAGAAAGAUUAAAGAAGACUUGAUAUUUUUACUCUGAAAAGAUAAUUAUAGCAAUGAUACCUUCCAUUUUGUAUAGCUUUUCGAUUUCUAACACAUUUUUAUAAAUGAAUUAUUUUAAUUGCUUGAUGAGUUCCCUAUUUUAUAUCUCAGGGGGAAUUCAUUUAUCCUUUUUUGUAUACUAGAGUCCCAGUAAUUGGUAAAGACAUAUUUUGAAGUCAAGCACUAUAUUCAAAUUCCAAACUCUACUAUAUUCAUUACAGUUAUUUUAGUUUUUAUGACCAUUCCUUUUCAAUUCUUGUCACUAGUUAUGCUUCUUAGGAAAACCUAGACUUUUUUGAAGCACAUAAUGAAGCCAAAUGUUAAAUCUGUACUUCAUUUUGCCUCAUUAAGAUAUGUGUUGGCCUGUAUACCAGCAGAGUAUUUCUAUUCCCAAAUAAAACUUAUGUCUAGGACUGAAAGUUAACACGAGUUAAGUUUACUCAUUAGGUUACCAGCUCAGCUGUAUUCAAUAAAUCUUUUUAGUCCUAGAGAACUUGUCUCGUAGGGGCUUAAACAAAGAUACCAUAAUUAUACCUCUCAUCACCAAGGAUGAAGUACGUACUGGUAUUUGUUUCUGCUUGUAUUAUCUCUAUGGGUUCGAGAUGUAGGGGACUUUAGCAGUCAUAGUAUAUUUAGUUUUUAGUAGCCAUGGUAUUUUACUACAGCCCUGUGUACUUUAGGUAGGAUAUGAGGACAGGAGAAGUACCUAAGUCUGGCAAGUAACUUACAGUGAAGCAAAGAACUCUUAAAUUAUUUUUUCAAAUGUACACUGCACAUUUUCACCUAACCUCACAAUCAUAUCAUUGGUUAUAAUGGGUUUAGAUCAGAGAACACAGUUUGCUUAGCACUAUCAGAAAAGUAACUUGUUAUGUUCAUAUUAAAGAGUAUGACACUAGUAACAAUAAACUAAACACCAUACUUCAGCUGACAAGGCAAUGAGCAACAAACACAUUAAGACUAGAUAACAUUUGGAAGCUCAAUAGCCAAUUGAACUCCCUAUAAAGUGAAGGAAGCAUCCAAUCUUACAUCUAGCAAUGAAACCUAGACCUGUCAUCAAUUUCCCAGCUGGCAGGCUGAGCCAUUUCAUCGAUAUUUCCAGUGAAUCACCCUAGCAGAGUAAGGUUACCAACAAUGAGGACUAGAAAUGAAGCCAACAUUAAGCUAUCAUCUGUACCUCUUAAUUCCACUGAGUUAGACAUGUAUGAACAAAUGUCAAACUGCCAUUAUAUACUGAGUUUACACAGGAGCAAAUUUGCAGUAAGAAGGCAAAAAAAAAAAGUCCCUCAAACCAAAACCAAACCAAACAAAAAAAUUAGUCCAAUCAUAGGGCACUGCUGGGUUUUCAUUCAUAACUCUAUAUACAGAUAUGCUUACAGAAAGUUGCAGCAAAAUUAAAUAUGAAGAACAAUACGUAUUUUCUAAAAGCAUGUCUAGUUUCAUGUAAAAUACUGAAAUUACAAAUAAUACUUCCAGAUUUUUCCUUAUACUACUCUUUCUGUGGGCAGGAGCACUUAAGAUACAUAAAAAUUAAUUUAUUUAGCAAUUACAAGUCCAUGAGUUGAUGGUGAGAACAAAUCAGUUCCUUUUAGCAAAGUCAUAAUAAAAA